GCGACCCCAGGUCAGGCGGGACUACCCGCUGAGUUUAAGCAUAUAAAUAAGCGGAGGAGAAGAAACUUACAAGGAUUCC
rnacentral:rRNA from 1 species